rnacentral:misc_RNA from 1 species
GCGAGUAAGACCCUGCCCUAGUGGCCUCGGUCAGUCCCAUCAUAUUACACCUUUAUUCGUGAACCUCGUGGUUCACGCUGGGACGAUGAAAGCUUUGGCGACUAGCCGUCCGUCGGUUCCGCUCUUUAUACCCUUAUGUGAAGUCAAUGGAAAUUAUGAUAAUCUAAUA